AGCAUCGCUUAGCAUGCGAGUCGAGAGGGUUCGGCCCUCGGCAGACCGCUCAGUAACACGUGGAGAACCUGCCUUAAGGCGGGGGAUAAUCUCGGGAAACUGAGGAUAAUACCCCAUAGACCACUUAUGCUGGAAUGCUUAGUGGUCCAAAGCUCCGGCACCUUAGGAUGGCUCUGCGACGUAUCAGGUAGUAGGGAGGGUAACGGCCUUCCUAGCCUACGACGCGUACGGGCGUUGAGAGACGUCGCCCGGAGAUGAACUCUGAGACACGAGUUCAGGCCCUACGGGGCGCAGCAGGCGCGAAAACUGCACAAUGCUGGGAACAGCGAUGCGGGAAUUCCAAGUGCCGGCACAAAGUGUCGGCUGUUCCAUUGUCUAAAAAACAUAGGAAGUAAGGGCUGGGUAAGACGGGUGCCAGCCGCCGCGGUAAUACCUGCAGCCCGAGUGGUGGCCGUUAUUAUUGGGCCUAAAACGUCCGUAGCCGGUUGGGUAGAUGCCUGUGUAAAUCGAACGGCUUAACCGUUCGAAGUGCGGGUAGACCGCCCGACUAGGGACCGGGAGAGUCACGAAGUACUCCGGGGGUAGAGGUGAAAUUCUGUAAUCCUCGGGGGACUACCGGUGGCGAAAGGCGUCGUGAUAGAACGGCUCCGACGGUGAGGGACGAAGCCCUGGGGCGCAACCGGGAUUAGAUACCCGGGUUAGUUCUGAUGUAACGCUGCGGUCUGCUGUCGCAGGUCUUACGAAGGUCAGUUCGUUACCUGGAGAAAGAAGCAG
rnacentral:rRNA from 1 species